GACGAACGCUGGCGGCGUGCUUAACACAUGCAAGUCGAACGGGAAGGCCCCUUCGGGGGUCCUCGAGUGGCGAACAGGUGAGUAACACGUGAGUAACCUGCCCUUGACUUCGGGAUAACUUCAGGAAACUGGGGCUAAUACCGGAUAGGAAUCCUUGCUGCAUGGUGGGGGUUGGAAAGCUUCGGCGGUUUUGGAUGGACUCGCGGCUUAUCAGCUUGUUGGUGGGGUAGUGGCUUACCAAGGCUUUGACGGGUAGCCGGCCUGAGAGGGCGACCGGCCACAUUGGGACUGAGAUACGGCCCAGACUCCUACGGGAGGCAGCAGUGGGGAAUAUUGCACAAUGGGCGGAAGCCUGAUGCAGCAACGCCGCGUGCGGGAUGACGGCCUUCGGGUUGUAAACCGCUUUCAGCAGGGGCGAAGCUUGUGGUGACGGUACCUGCAGAAGAAGCACCGGCUAACUACGUG
rnacentral:rRNA from 1 species